rnacentral:rRNA from 1 species
CCCCUAGAUGUUCUGGGCCGCACGCGCGCUACACUGAACAGUUCAACAAGUCUUAACCUUGGCCGAUAGGUCUGGGUAAUCUUUGAACGCUGUUCGUGAUUGGGAUAGACCUUUGCAAUUAUGGGUCUUCAACGAGGAAUUCCUAGUAAACGCAAGUCAUCAGCUUGCAUUGAUUACGUCCCUGCCCUUUGUACACACCGCCCGUCGCACCUACCGAUUGAAUGGUCCGGUGAAAUCUCGGGACGGCGGCUUGGUCGCUUGCGUCCGACUGCUGAAACUUGAUUAAACCAUAUCAUUUAGAGGAAGGAGAAGUCGUANCA